rnacentral:tRNA from 1 species
UUUCCGGCAUUUGCACAGCCUUAUAAGCUGUGGGUCUCUGGUUCGAAUCCAGCAGGGCGCGCCA